rnacentral:lncRNA from 1 species
CAAACUUAUGCUGGGAUUCAGCCAACAGGAGAUAUUUUGUCUUUCAUCACCAGGUUUAGGGCAAUAGACUCUGCCAAGAGGGGAUUAUUACAUACUGCAGAGCCCAGCACCCAGGAUGAAAAGCCAGAAUACAAGCAGUGACCACCACACCUGACAGACCUGUUGCUGCACAUAUCUGUACUCUCCAAUCAACAAAACCUGAUGCUAAAAACAGAAAAGGGGAGAUGUAGGAGAUUGGUCAGGGUGGUGGGAAAAAUUGUAGAAAGAUGCAAACCUUGGAAGGCUGGAAGGUUUUACAAAAGCUUCAGAAUAGGAUUUGGCUGAAGGCAGCCAGAUUCUCUUAUCCUAUGCCUUAAAGCUUAAGUUAGAUAACAAGGGGAUAUAAAGAAACUGAUCUAGGUAAGUUAGUUUACUUAGGCCUUGGAACCUGGCCUUUAAUCAUCUGCAGGACUGCUCUCCAGGGAGGGCGACUAUGUUAAUUAUCCACAAGUGUGUUAACUCAAAG